rnacentral:rRNA from 1 species
GACAGCUUGCUCCUUGAUUCAGCGGCGGACGGGUGAGUAAUGCCUAGGAAUCUGCCUGGUAGUGGGGGACAACGUUUCGAAAGGAACGCUAAUACCGCAUACGUCCUACGGGAGAAAGCAGGGGACCUUCGGGCCUUGCGCUAUCAGAUGAGCCUAGGUCGGAUUAGCUAGUUGGUGGGGUAAUGGCUCACCAAGGCGACGAUCCGUAACUGGUCUGAGAGGAUGAUCAGUCACACUGGAACUGAGACACGGUCCAGACUCCUACGGGAGGCAGCAGUGUGGAAUAUUGGU